rnacentral:rRNA from 1 species
UACGUAGGUGGCAAGCGUUGUCCGGAUUUACUGGGCGUAAAGGGCGUGUAGGCGGUGCGCUAAGUCCGGUGUGAAAUCUCCCGGCCCAACUGGGAGGAGCCAUCGGAUACUGGCGUACUAGAGGGGGGUAGAGGAAGGCGGAAUUCCCGGUGUAGCGGUGGAAUGCGUAGAUAUCGGGAGGAACACCAGUGGCGAAGGCGGCCUUCUGGGCCCACCCUGACGCUGAGGCGCGAAAGCGUGGGGAGCAAACCGG